rnacentral:rRNA from 1 species
CCUACGGGUGGCAGCAGUGAGGAAUAUUGGUCAAUGGGCGUAAGCCUGAACCAGCCAAGUCGCGUGAGGGAUGAAGGUUCUAUGGAUCGUAAACCUCUUUUAUAAGGGAAUAAAGUGUGGGACGUGUCCUAUUUUGUAUGUACCUUAUGAAUAAGGAUAGGCUAACUCCGUGCCAGCAGCCGCGGUAAUACGGAGGAUCCGAGCGUUAUCCGGAUUUAUUGGGUUUAGAGGGUGCGUAGGCGGCCUUUUAAGUCAGCGGUGAAAGUCUGUGGCUCAACCAUAGAAUUGCCGUUGAAACUGGGGGGCUUGAGUAUGGUUGAGGCAAGCGGAAUGCGUGGUGUAGCGGUGAAAUGCUUAGAUAUCACGCAGAACCCCGAUUGCGAAGGCAGCCUGCCAAGCCAUGACUGACGCUGAUGUACGAAAGCGUGGGGAUCAAACAGGAUUAGAUACCCUAGUAGUC